UACGGAAGGUCCGGGCGUUAUCCGGAUUUAUUGGGUUUAAAGGGAGCGUAGGCCGGAGAUUAAGCGUGUUGUGAAAUGUAGACGCUCAACGUCUGCACUGCAGCGCGAACUGGUUUCCUUGAGUACGCACAAAGUGGGCGGAAUUCGUGGUGUAGCGGUGAAAUGCUUAGAUAUCACGAAGAACUCCGAUUGCGAAGGCAGCUCACUGGAGCGCAACUGACGCUGAAGCUCGAAAGUGCGGGUAUCGAACAGGAUUAGAGACCCUAGUAGUCCGCAGUAGUCCGGCUGACUGACU
rnacentral:rRNA from 1 species